UACGGAGGAUGCAAGCGUUAUCCGGAUUUAUUGGGUUUAAAGGGUGCGCAGGCGGGAGAUUAAGUCGGCGGUGAAAUUUUGCAGCUCAACUGUAAAAGUGCCUUCGAAACUGGUUUCCUUGAGUGUAGAUGAAGUAGGCGGAAUUUGUGGUGUAGCGGUGAAAUGCAUAGAUAUCACGAGGAACUCCGAUUGCGCAGGCAGCUUACUAAACCAUAACUGACGCUCAGGCACGAAGGCGUGGGGAUCAAACAGGAUUAGAUACCCCCGUA
rnacentral:rRNA from 1 species